CCCUUAGAUGUUCUGGGCUGCACGCGCGCUACACUGAUGCACUCAACGAGUUUACGACCUUGCCCGAUAGGGUUGGGUAAUCUUUUUAAAAUGCAUCGUGAUGGGGAUAGAUUAUUGCAAUUAUUAAUCUUCAACGAGGAAUUCCUAGUAAGCGCGAGUCAUCAGCUCGUGCUGAUUACGUCCCUGCCCUUUGUACACACCGCCCGUCGCUCCUACCGAUUGAGUGCUCAGGUGAAUAAUUCGGACUGCAGCAAUGUUUGGAUCCCGAACGUUGCAGCGGAAAGUUUAGUGAACCUUAUUACUUAGAGGAAGGAGAAGUCGUAACA
rnacentral:rRNA from 1 species